ensembl:lncRNA
CUACUCUGGCUGCUUGUGAAAGCAACAAGUGACUUCAUCCAACAUUCACCUGCGCAAGACAGUUCCGAAGUGGGAACACUCACCUGCCCAUGGCAGUUGCGAGGAGACCCGAGGCUCUGCUGGGGAAAUCCCUUGGUCUGCCAAAGCUUUUUUCUUUCCUCAUGAAGGGUCAGUCGGCUCCUAGGGGCAAGUGUGGAAUUACAGAAGGUGUCGAGGACUAAGCACAAGCCGGCUGCUAACGGCUGCUUUCCAACAAUGCUGUAAAACUUCUCCUUGAGUCACGGCUCUUUUUUCAGACAUUCCAUAGCAGUUCAGUUGGAGAACUCCAGAAAUGGGAGCCUCUGUUUCCGGUCCUGAGCGCUCACACGCCACCUGGGAGCCUCCUACCGGCCUGGACAAGCCAGCCUCUCCCUCGAAGUCCCGAAAAGGGUCAGUUUCAGAAGGCUGCAGGUGUGUGCGGAGUUUGUUGCUGGGAUGGAGCGCUGGUGGGAAGACAGCCCGGGGUGUUAACCUCCAUCAAGGUCAAGUUAUCCAGCCUGGCUUGUGCUGCCCGGAGUUUGCUAUGUGAAUGUCCUGGAUCUCAUGUGCCAUCUGCAUGGUGUCUGAAGGCUAAUUUAGCAGGGGUUUGAAAAUCCUGUCUUAUUUGUUGAACAUUGAUCACUGGUCCUGGCUCUCACGGAAGAAACGUCAACAUUGCUCUGGCGUGUGAGGUGUUUUCUGGAAGCAUCUUUGAUAAUGUCAGAAAUGAGGUCAUACUGUUCUGGGAAGAGAGUGUUUUUCGUGAACUUUUGUUUCUUCUUCCAUAAGGCACUGAUAAUGGCAGAAAACAAGUCUUUGUCAAAGAUAAGGCUGUAAAACUGAAUAAUUUUUGAUAGUUGAAUAUAUUUUUUAAAAGCAGAAAUUUUGACAUUGUCUCAUUAAGGUAGUUUUAGCUUUGUUUUAUAUCAUUUGCUGAAGUAAUUGGUGAUGCCCUUUCAGAAAGAGAAACAAAGUAGGCCCUGUUUAACAUGACUCAUCACUUUCCAGAGAAAGAGAUAGAAAUGUAUAGUUGUCUUGUUUUUUUUUUUUUGAGUGUCUCAUAAUUAUAAUUUAUACAUACAAAUCCCACAGGCAUAUGUCACCAACAGAUGGCAUUUAUUAAAAAUACACAUGCGUUCUUGGAUAGUUUGUGUCAUUCUGCUUGAAGGCAAAGGAAUGACUUAGACGACCUUUCAAGGACAUUCUUCUUAAAUAUUCAAGAAUAUGAUCUGGAACUGUCCCACUGCUUGAAAUGGGUUUACUUUAAAUAUGUGUCCAGGUUGAAUAUGUUUGCUGCAAGGGACACACAUCCAACUUGAAUCAGAGUAAUAGAAAAAGUACAAUGUAUGACCCACUUAGAAAAGAGUCUGUUCCAUGUCGGUGUUAGAGACAAAU